rnacentral:lncRNA from 1 species
GGAUUAAGAGAAGGCAGGCUGCUUUGCUGAAGCUAUGUGGUCUUCAAGUGAGAGUUGCAGGCAAUAGAACUACUUUCCUUUUGGAGUAAAAGGAGGAAUUCAUUUUCAGUAGCCACAAGAAAAGUUUUUUUUUUUUUCCAGGGUGGCUGGCAAAAUGGCCAAAUAGUAACAGCUCCAGUCUGCAGCUCCCAGUAAGAUCUACACACAAGGCGGGUGAUUUCUGCAUUUCCAACUGAGGAUUCUUAGUCCCUGUACUUGUGCUAACUUCAAGUUCCUUCGGUGGAUUUUAGUUCAUCUCAGCUGUGCUGAAGGAGAAACAAGGCCACACAGUCUUGUCACCUUUGCUCUGGGUGUGAGGACAGCAUGGAGAUCAUCAGGUCAACGCAAGUAAGAUGAGGACUUGGGCCAGGAAGCAGAGAGAAUGCUGGGCCGCUGUCCUUUUCUUCAUGGGAGGGUGUUUAGAGAACAUUCUCUGGUGACAAGGACUCUCUUCUUGCCCAAACCCUAGUCAGGCUCCUCUGGGCUCCUUUUUCAGUGAGGCCCCAUUUUGGGGUGUGUCCCAAGACCCCAGUUUUAGCAAGAAUCCUGUUACCUCAAUUCAGCCAGAAUCCCCCACCCUUGAUGUCUAUCAAUCACCCUCAGCCUCAAUAUCUGGCCAGGUUCUUUGUCCCUCACCAUCCC